rnacentral:rRNA from 1 species
CCAAUAGCGUAUAUUAAAGUUGUUGCAGUUAAAAAGCUCGUAGUUGAAUUUCAGGCCUGGCUGGACGGUCCGCCCUUCGGGUGAGUACUGUCUGUGGUCGGGUCCUACCUUCUGGCGAAGCGUCAUGGCCUUAACCGGCCGUGGCGGGGAACCAGGACUUUUACUGUGAAAAAAUUAGAGUGUUCAAAGCAGGCAAUCGCUUGGAUACAUUAGCAUGGAAUAAUGGAAUAGGACAAUGGUUCUAUUUGUUGGUUUCUAGGACCGUUGUAAUGAUUAAUAGGGAUAGUCGGGGGCAUUAGUAUUCAAUUGUCAGAGGUGAAAUUCUUGGAUUUAUUGAAGACUAACUACUGCGAAAGCAUUUGCCAAGGAUGUUUUCAUUAAUCAAGAACGAAAGUUAGGGGAUCGAAGACGAUCAGAUACCGUCGUAGUCUUAACCAUAAACUAUGCCGACUAGGGAUCGGAUGAUGUUAAUUUUUUAAUGACUCAUUCGGCGCCUUACG